rnacentral:rRNA from 1 species
UCAAGCUGAAAAGAGCGCAAGGGGAAUGCCUUGGCAUCAGGAGCCGACGAAGGACGUGACAAGCUGCGAUAAGCCACGGGGAGGAGCAAAUAUCCGUUAUAUCCGUGGAUUUCCGAAUGGGGGAACCCGCUCAAGCAAUACUUGAGCAUCGUGCGUUGAAUCAAAUAGGCGUACGAAGGGAACGGCCUGAACUGAAACAUCUAAGUAGGGCCAGGAAAAGACAUCAACCGAGAUUCCGCUAGUAGUGGCGAGCGAACGCGGAGGAGGCCAAACCGAGGGACGCAAGUUCUUCGGGGUUGCGGACAGACAUCAAGACCAGAGGUAAUUAAGAGAACGGCGUGGGAAAGCCGGCCAUAGAAGGUGAGAGCCCUGUAUCUGAAAAUGAAGACUGGCAGUCUGGAUCCAGAGUACCGCGGGACACGUGAAACCCCGUGGGAAACCGGGUGGACCACCAUCCAAGCCUAAAUACUACCUGAUGACCGAUAGAGGAGCAGUACCGUGAGGGAAAGGUGAAAAGGACCCCGGGAGGGGAGUGAAAGAGAACCUGAAACCUUGUGCCUACAAGCACAUAGAGCCCGUCAAAGGGUGAUAUGGUACUUUUUGUAGAACGGUCCGGCGAGCGAUUGUACGUUGCAAGCUUAAGGUCUUAAGGACUGGAGGCGUAGCGAGAGCGAGUCUAAACAGGGCGUUUAGUAGCGUGCAAUGGGCCCGAAACCGGGUGACCUACCCAUGAUCAGGCUGAAGUGAAAGUAAAAUUUCAUGGAGGGCCGAACCGACCUCCGUUGAAAAGGCGGCGGAUGAAUUGUGGGUAGCGGAGAAAUUCCAAUCGAACUCGGAGAUAGCUGGUUCUCCCCGAAAUAGCUUUAGGGCUAGCCUCAUGUUAGAUAUCCGGAGGUAAAGCACUGAAUGGCCUAGCGUCCGAGAGGAUAGCGAAGCCUAUCAAACUAAGAAUGCCGGAAUAUUGAUGCAUGGGAGUCAGACAGUGUGAGAUAAAUCUCAUUGUCAAAAGGGAAACAGCCCAGAUCUACAGCUAAGGUCCCAAAUUGUAUCUAAGUGGAAAACGAUGUGGAAAUACGCAGACAACCAGGAUGUUGGCUCAGAAGCAGCCACUCAUUUAAAGAGUGCGUAAUAGCUCACUGGUCGAGCGUCUCUGCGCGGAAAAUUUAACGGGGCUAAGAUACAAACCGAAGCUUAGGCUGCACUUUUAGUGCGGGGUAGGGGAGCGUUGUGUAAGCGGAGAAACAGUAGCGGAAGCGGCUGUGGAGUUUACAGAAGUGAGAAUGCCGGAAUGAGUAGCGCGAAUGAUGUGAGAAUCAUCAUGGCCGGAAACCUCAGGUUUUUGGAGGAAGGUUCGUCCGCUCCAAGUUAGGCGGGAGCUAAGGUGAGGCCGAAAGGCGUAGCCGAUGCACAGACGGUAGAGAUUCCGUCCCCACCGAAAGAUUUAAGCGCAGGGACACUUUUAGAAGGUCGGAGCCAGGUGUUGGUUCUGGUAGAGAUCGAGGGAAGAUUAGUACCGAAGUCCGGCUGGAUAAGAGGCGAGAAAAGCUGCGUGUAUAUCUAAGGUGCCCGUACCGCAAACCGACACAGGUAGGUAGGAAGAAGAUUCUAAGGCCAACGGGAGAAGGGUUGUUAAGGAACUCGGCAAGUUGACCCCGUAACUUCGGAAUAAGGGGUGCUCAUGAAAGUGAGCCGCAGAGAAUAGGCCCAGGCAACUGUUUACCAAAAACACAGGUUUGUGCUAAAUCGAAAGAUGACGUAUACGAGCUGACGCCUGCCCGGUGCUGGAAGGUUAAAAGGAGAUGUGCAAGCAUUGAAUUGAAGCCCCAGUGAACGGCGGCCGUAACUAUAACGGUCCUAAGGUAGCGAAAUUCCUUGUCAGGUA